rnacentral:rRNA from 1 species
CACGGAGUUAGCCGAUCCUUAUUCCUUCGGUACAUUCAGCUUAUUACACGUAAUAAGGUUUAUUCCCGAAUAAAAGCAGUUUACGACCCAGAGGGCUGUCUUCCUGCACGCGGCAUGGCUGGUUCAGAGUUGCCUCCAUUGACCAAUAUUCCUUACUGCUGCCUCCCGUAGGAGUCUGGUCCGUGUCUCAGUACCAGUGUGGGGGGUCAUCCUCUCAGAUCCCCUAGUCAUCGUCGCCUUGGUGGGCCGUUACCCCGCCAACUAGCUAAUGACACGCAUGCCCAUCUUAAAUCCUAUAAAUAUUUGAACAUUGGAUAAUGCUAUCCUGUGUUUUAUGCGGUGUUAAUCCGAAUUUCUUCGGGCUAUCCCCUGACUUAAGGUAGUUGCAUACGCGUUACGCACCCGUGCGCCACUUUUCCCAAUGAGCAAAGCCCAGUUGGUAUCGUUCGACUUGCAUGUAUUAGGCCUGCCGCUAGCGUCACUCUGAGCAGGA